CCAAUUUAAUCCAAAAAUACUACAACCCUUGUGCACUGUGAUAUUGUUUGUCUUUGGGGUGGCUGUACUGUAUAUCACAAUACAUUUGCUGCCCCACAUUUGUUCAACGCAUUCUUCUUUUUGUGGUAUCAAUUGUCUUAAUAUAAAAGGA
rnacentral:misc_RNA from 1 species